UGUGGCAGUGCCUGGGGGGGAUGAGCUGCUGCCCAGCAAACAGGGAAAACUCCAGCUCCUCCUGAGCACAGCACCACGUCUGUAACGAGACUGCUCAGCUGCCUGCAAGCAGCAGCCCCAGGGUGUCUUUCAUCCCUCCUCUGUAAGGAGGCAGAUGAUGGUCACAAAGAGCAGGUUGGUGUCUGCCUUUGCUGGGAGGGACUGACUGUGGAGGGAGGAGACAGCUCCCUAAACCCUCAGGGGCUCACAGCAGGUGGGGCACCCUGGGGGUGUCAGGAGGAGUCUGACCUCGGGCAGGACCCUGCUGUGCAUCCAGACCCUCAGGCUGGAUGUUCCUCCCAGAGCUGGGCAUCGCCAGCGUGGCCAGAACUGCAGUGAACCCCCUUCUUCCUCCUGCCCUGAGUGUUCAGUGAAAGUCUCUGAGGCGUUUGUCAUCAAAAGUAUGUAUUUAUUUAUAAAAAAGAACAGAGAAAAAAAUAUACCAGUGUUUCUUUUUCUAUAAAAGACAAUUCCUUGGAGGUUAAAUGUCCUAGACCCAAGGAUACAUGGCAUUGCAGUCCACAGCUGUAGAUGGCUGAUCCAGAUC